rnacentral:antisense_RNA from 1 species
CUUUAUGGUAGAUCGGACGAUGGGACAUUCGUGUCCACCGUUUUCUGUUUUUUACGGUACGCCAACUUCGUUCGGUCUGCCACCUCA